CACACAAGAAAUGAUAAAUAAAUAAUAAAAAACUACAAAACCUCAUCAAACCUUGGGACUUGGUCUAAUAAAAUCAAGUUUCUUUUUCUUUUUCUUUUUGUUCUAAGUCUACUCAUC
rnacentral:ribozyme from 13 species